GGGAGAUGUAGUUCCUGACUCUCCCUGGAACGGAAGUGACGUUGGGGGGAGAGACCAAGCCGAGUUGCAAACACGAGCCCUGCGGCUCUGCCUUGCUCGCGCGGGGCUGUUGGAGCCUCUCUGCCCGCCCCAGCCCCGAUCUUCCAUUCUCCUGUUCAAGAGACAUCCCCCAGGGCGCCCUCUGCCUGUGUGACUGGCCAGCAGGGGGCAGUGAUAACUCUCUAUCCACUCAGCAGACACACUGAGGUGUGUGACUGAGACCAGGGCUCUUAUCGUACUGAGCGUGGCCCUGUUCUCCAGGCGCUGCAGAGACCCCAGGUGAGAUCAGACCCCACUGUUGUGCCAGGUAAAACUGAGGCCUAGACCGAGAUCACGGCCCCCUUUAAGCCAGGCGGUGCACGACUGUGACCUAAACUGCUGCAUCCAUUGUGCUGGGCACUUUAGAGACCUCGACUGAGAUCUGUGUCCCCGUUGAGUCUGGCACUGCACUGACCCCGACCCAGAUCACACCCCACCACUGUACUGGG